rnacentral:lncRNA from 1 species
CCACCCUCCUAUGAUCUCAUACUGGAUUGGUUCUAAAAAGAGUCUGGAGUUCUCAUGAACUGGAUUCUUGAAUGCAGCUUCUGGAGAUUUGAGCCACAUUAAGCAGAAACACCUUCCUCUUCUACUUCAAAAUGUGAAAACAUUUGGCAGGACAGCUCAGGCAAAAAUCAUAGGAAAUGGUGCCACCAGUCAUCUCAGAGGAUGCAGGAAGAAGGAAGAAGGUGAACAAAAGCCUCUCAGUUGCAUUGCAACCGCACACCAAUGGCAACAAAAAAAGAGCCUAAUGAACCUGCUGAAACGUAUGGCCCUAAUGAAGAUGAAAGUCUUUCUUCUUACCUAGAAACACACACACACAAAAGAAAUUAAAAAAGAAAUGACAAGGUGCCAGCUGCUCUGAGAGAUUUUAGAGGCACAACUGGAUCUGCAAAAAGGAAGAAAGGAAGGGAAAAAAGAAAAAGCUGUUUCCCUGGGGUUCUUCUGCAGGACCAUUCUUCAUUGCUGCUGAGUCUGCAUUAAAUGGCGCAGCUGGCUGAAGGAGGAAAGCUUCUGGGUGGAGGGGAAUACAGAGAUAUAUAUUUUUAAUGGGCUCAUAAGUUCCUAGAGAAGAGAAAUGAAGGGCUGUUAAGCUUCUUGAGCUGAAAAGUUCUUGUGAUCCCAAGGAGCCUGAGUGCUGCAUUGCCUCUGGUGAUUGUCAGCUCUCUGCAAUCUCUACUCCAUUUGUUAUUUUAUUUCUGUGAGAACAAACAGUCUAUCACCUGAUAAGAUUUAUAACUAAUACUGAGCAGGAUUAUACAGAAAAUACUGAAACUUGUACUGUAAGGCUUGUUGGUUUUCACUAAGAUCUGCUCCAGAAUAGCGAGACAUUAAUACACCAGCUUUCUCCUCUGGAAGCCUGCUGUCAAGGCUCAGUUUGACUUUACCAGUGAAAGAAGAUUGUCUUUUUAUCUCCAGCCCCUCGCAGCCUCCUGGGGACAAGGGAUCUUU